GUGCAUAUGUGCAGCACAUACACUAAAAUCAGAGCAAUACAGAGAUUAUCAUGGCCCCUGAGCAAGGAUGACAUACAAAUAAUGUUUAAGCCUUUAGAUGGUU
ensembl:snRNA U6 U6 spliceosomal RNA